CCAAAUAUCUAGCCUACUCAUCUCCACUUGUCUACAACCUAAAAUAAAACAUUUUCACCUUCUAGUAGGGGGGACUGAAAGAUUAAUUAGCGCUUCAGAUUAAGUACCGAAAGGGAAUGAUGAAAUAAUAAUGAAAAAACUCAAAGCCCCCUAUAGCAAAGUUUACUACUCGUACCUUUUGCAUCAUGGUCAAGCCAGUUCAAUUAAGCAAAAAGCAAAUUUUAGUUUAACCUCCCGAAACUGGGUGAGCUACUUCAAAAUAGUCUAUAGGACGAACCCGUCCCUGUUGCAAAAGGGUGGGAAAAUUUUUUAGUAGCAGUGAAAAGCUUAUCGGACCCAGAAAUAGCUGGUUAUCCAAGAAAAGAAUUUAAGUUCUACCUUAAGUUUAUUUAUAAUUCUAAAUAAAACAUAAAACUUAAGAGCUACUCAAAUAAGGUACAGCUUAUUUGAUCAAGGAUACAGCCUCACACAUAGGGUAACAUCUUAAACACUCAUAAGUAGGCCUGAAAGCAGCCNNNNNNNNNNNNNNNNNNNNNNNNNNNNNNNNNNNNNGUAAUACCACACAUCUCUUUAAACCCUUAACCACUAUUGGAUGACUCCAUAACCUAUGGAAGACAUUAUGCUUGAACUAGUAACAAGAAUAUGAAAUUCUCCUAAAUGUAAGUAUAAGCCACAUUAGACAAACUAAUGGCAAUUAACGUCAAUGAAUAUAGUACAACAACUUUCUAGAAAAGCUUGCAUAAUUCAACGUUAACCUUACACAAGAACAUUUCAGGAAAGAUUAAAAGGAAGAGAAGGAACUCGGCAAACAACAACCCCGCCUGUUUACCAAAAACAUCGCCUCUUGCUCAAAUAUAAGAGGUCCAGCCUGCCCAGUGAUUAUUAAACGGCCGCGGUAUCCUAACCGCGCUAAGGUAGCACAAUUACUUGUCCUUUAAAUGGGGACCAGAAUGAAUGACAUCACGAGGGUUAUACUGUCUCCCCUUCCCAAUCAGUGAAAUUGACCUCCCUGUGAAAAGGCAGGAAUAAAAAUAUUAGACGAGAAGACCCCAUGGAGCUUUAGACACUAAGCAAAUUCAAGCCACUAUUUCUAUUAGCCUACGAUUUAUGUCUUUAAGUCUUUGGCUGGGGCCGCCAUGGAGUAAAAAUUAACCUCCUCGCCGAAUGGAUACUUCCUUAUCUAAGAGUAACACCUCUAAGAAACAGCAAACUGACGCCCAUUGAUCCGGAACCCGAUCAACGAACCAAGUUACCCUGGGGAUAACAGCGCUAUCUACCUUAAGAGUUCCUAUCGACAGGUGGGUUUACGACCUCGAUGUUGGAUCAGGGUAUCCUAGUGGUGCAGCCGCUACAUAAGGUUCGUUUGUUCA
rnacentral:rRNA from 1 species